AUGAAUGAUGAUCUGCACUCCAAAAACUUACCUGAAGAACCAUGGCGAAGUGUUGUUAUGCUAUUGAUGGCGAGGAAAAUUCAAGAUUUUACCUUGCCUUGGAUUUGGUUUGAAAGCAAAAAGAAAACGUACACUGGUUAUUCAAUCCAAUGGCAUUGGUUGUUGCCUUCACAAUCAUCAUCCUAUAAGAUUCUUUUCGUGAUCUCCUUGUCUUCAUUUGUUCUUGCAAUUGAAAUUUAUCUUUACGAUGCAAGCAACCUCCUUCCCUUUUUGACUUACCUUAUUCUGCAUGAAUCGUUUGUUGAGUCCUGGCUUAGAUGA
rnacentral:rRNA from 1 species